rnacentral:rRNA from 7 species
AAAAAAAAUGAGUUUGAUCCUGGCUCAGAG